CCCCCCUUCCAUCCUCCCCGCUCCAUCCCCUCCGCAAACGAUUCUGCUCGGAAGUAAGAAGCUUUUCCCUGGUGAAGCGGCGCUGACCUGAUUGUCUCUAAGCUCCAGGGUCACACAAGUACCUCUGGACCAACUCCAUUUUGGCAUCAUACAUAGAAGCUUCUGGAAAACAGAGAUUGCACCAUGACACAUUGACACAAGACUAUGUGAGAGAUAUAGAUGAAAUAAAGAGAUGAAUAGGUUCCAGCUUUACAGGAUUACAGAGAUGGGGUAUUUUGCAUUUGGUGAGAUUCAGGAAAAGAUGGAGCAACUAGCACACAUAUGCCAAUUUCCCUUUUCAUUUUUAAUGCACACCAAUUCUGUACUUUUCUAUAGUCUUUCAAAAUUUCUCUUAAUGCUUGUACUGAAGAUAUUUCAUUGCUCUCAGACACAAAACACUGCAGGAGUUCACUUCUUUUGCUUUCAUUCCAAUGGAUUAGGGCAGUUUUCUGAUUAAAACUGAUUAUGAAAGUAUUUUCUAUUGCAAGAUCUUACAUGUUCUUUAAAAAGUCCUUUUUUUAUACAUUAGAAAAUCUGUUGUUAAAAACACUGAUAAGAUUUUAUUUCAUUUCUUCACUGUACAUUUCACAUAAAUACUUAUCCUUUAUGUUUUCAGAGUUUAAAAGUGAUAUAAAUACAGAGAACAAACUGGUGGUUUGCAAGAGGGUAAGGACAUGGAGAGAUGGGCAAAAUAGGUGGAGGGAGAGGAUUAAGAGGUACAAACUUCAGUUAUAAGAUAAAUAUGUCACAGGAAUGAAAAGCAUAGCAUAAAGGAUGUAAUCAAUAAUAUGGUAAUAACAUUGUAUGGCGAUGGAUGGUAACUACCCUUCUUGUGGUAAAUGCUGUGUCAUGUGUAGAACUGUCCAAUCACUAUGUUAUACACUGGAAAUUAAUAUAACAUUAUGUGCCAAUUAUACUCCAAUAAUAAUUUUUAAACAUUUCUGUAUUUCCUAAAAUUCUUUCAAGUUAAUAAUUUCUGACUUCCCAUUAGUACAAUGCAUUCUAAGAAAAUAAUAUGACAAAUGUAUCAGGAUGAAUGUAUAAGGACUAUACAUUCUUUUUAAUAGCGAAAAAUUGAAAAUGCUAUAAAAAUCCACCAAACAGAAUUGGUUAGUCUCUGGUAUAUCUACUCACUUGACAAACUACUCAGUAAUAGUAUAAACACAAUUGUAAGACUUUAUAUUCUGUUUUGUAAAAUCCUAUGUAUUAGUUGCUUUAUAAUGGCUGUAUUAGGGAGGUAGUGCUUUCAUUUCCCAAUAUAGAGAUGAGGUUUAGUAGAGGUAAGCAAUUUGUCCUGUGUUUCACAAGUAAGUGGCAGCCCUAGAUCAGAAAACCAGGCAAUCUGACUCUAGAGAGACAAUGCUUUUGAUCACUAUCCUGUUGAUGGCUCUCUACAUUUAUUGACAUGGAAUAUGUUCUUAAUAUAUUAUUUAAAUAUACCAAUUAUUCAGAGUACCAGCCGGGAAAAUGAAAUAUAUAGUUAUAUCUUAAUAUAUUUCCAGUAGUUGUGAGAGCAAGGAUUUAUAGCAAUCCCAAUUUAUUAUAUUUUUUUCAUUUUUUUUCUGAUUUUCUGUAAUAUUGUAUUUAAUUAGAAAAUAUAGAAUAUUCUUUUUAUUUUUUUAAGUAAGCUCUAGGUCCAACAUGGAGCUUGAAUUCACAACCCCAAAAUCAAGAGUUGCAUGUUCUUCUGAGUCAGCCAAGCAUCCCAGAACAUUCAUGAGAUAUUAGUGCUACAUGAUCCAUUAUUACAUGAGUGUUUGAAAGAAAAUUAAUAUAUAUAUACUUCUUAUAUAAAUGUAUCAAAUGGUUAUUAACUAAAAUGUUAACAGUUUGUAUUUAAAUGAUAAAUUAUAGGACAAGCUUUCCUAAAUCCCUGUUUGUCUUUAAAUGUAUAUUCGUCUUUUCUUAGUCACAAUAUAUUAUAUAGAAAUAAAAAUGUAAUAAAAGUUUAAAAUAAAAAUA